rnacentral:lncRNA from 1 species
UGAUGUCGCUACCUGUUUGCUUGCUUUUGCUGUCCUCUGGCCGUGACGACAAUGGUCCAUGGGGGUUCCUGACCCCAAACAUCUCCCGCUAGCUGGGAGACGGAUCGAUCUGUUCUGAGCCAUGAAACGCAUCCCUGUGUGUCCAUGAUGUCGCUACCUGUUUGCUUGCUUUUGCUGUCCUCUGGCCGUGACGACAAUGGUCCAUGGGGGUUCCUGACCCCAAACAUCUCCCGCUAGAUGGGAGACGGAUGGAUCUGUUCUGAGCCAUGAAACGCAUCCCUGUGUGUCGAUGAUGUCGCUACCUGUUUGCUUUCUUUUGCUGUCCUCUGGCCGUGAUGUUUGGCCUCGUCUGACGGCAUCGCUGCAGCUGCCCCAGAAGGCCCCAUGGUCCCUGAGGCCUCAUUCACACCUGGCUGUUGCUGUUGCCGCUUCUGCUGCUGCUGUUUCUGCUGCUGUAG